AGCGAGCGUUAGCGGCGGGCUUAACACAUGCAAGUCGAACGCGAAAGGGAUUCGUCCCCAGUAGCGUGGCGUCCGGGUGAGUAACACGUAGGAAACCUUGCCUAGAGUGGGGGAUAACGUCCCGAAAGGGACGCUAAUACCGCAUAAGCCCACGUCGGCCUCGGCCGAUGCGGGAAAAGAUGGCCUCUGAAUUCAAGCUAUCGCUCAAGGAUGGUCCUGCGGCGCAUCAGCUAGUUGGUGGGGUAACGGCCUACCAAGGCGAAGACGCGUAGCUGGUCUGAGAGGAUGAUCAGCCACACUGGCACUGAAACACGGGCCAGACUCCUACGGGAGGCAGCAGUGGGGAAUUUUGGACAAUGGGCGAAAGCCUGAUCCAGCGACGCCGCGUGGGUGA
rnacentral:rRNA from 1 species